UACGUAGGGGCAAGCGUUGUCCGGAAUCAUUGGCGUAAAGCGCGUGUAGGCGGCUUGGUAAGUCUGCUCUGAAAGCCCGGGGCUCAACCCCGGGAGGCGGGUGGAUACUGUCAAGCUCGAGUCCGGAAGAGGAGUGUGGAAUUGCCUGGUGUAGCGGUGAAAUUCGUAGAUAUUAGGAAGAACACCAGUGGCGAAAGGCGGCUCACUGGCCCGGGUACUGACGCUGAGGAGCGAAAGCGUGGGGAGCGAACAGG
rnacentral:rRNA from 1 species